UGGGGAAUAUUGGACAAUGGGGGAAACCCUGAUCCAGCAAUGCCGCGUGAGUGAAGAAGGCCUUAGGGUUGUAAAGCUCUUUCGCCCGCGAAGAUAAUGACGGUAGCGGGAGAAGAAGCCCCGGCUAACUCCGUGCCAGCAGCCGCGGUAAUACGGAGGGGGCUAGCGUUGUUCGGAAUUACUGGGCGUAAAGCGUACGUAGGCGGAUGCGCAAGUUGGGGGUGAAAUCCCGGGGCUUAACCUCGGAAUUGCCCUCAAAACUGCACGGCUUGAGACCGAGAGAGGUAAGGGGAAUUCCUAGUGUAGAGGUGAAAGUCGUAGAUAUUAGGAAGAACACCAGUGGCGAAGGCGCCUUACUGGCUCGGUACUGACGCUGAGGUACGAAAGCGUGGGGAGCAAACA
rnacentral:rRNA from 1 species